UUAAAUGAAUUGACGGGGGCCCGCACAAGCGGUGGAGUAUGUGGUUUAAUUCGAAGCAACGCGAAGAACCUUACCAGGUCUUGACAUACCGGGCAAAGCCUCAGAGAUGAGGAAAUAGUUAUGCCGGAUACAGGUGGUGCAUGGUUGUCGUCAGCUCGUGUCGUGAGAUGUUGGGUUAAGUCCCGCAACGAGCGCAACCCUUGUCUUUAGUUACCAUCAUUAAGUUGGGGACUCUAAAGAUACUGCCCCGGUUAACGGGAGGAAGGUGGGGAUGACGUCAAGUCCUCAUGGCCUUUAUGUCCAGGGCUACACACGUGCUACAAUGGGUUGUACAAAGGGUUGCGAACUCGCGAGAGUAAGCCAAUCCCAAAAAGCAACUCUUAGUUCGGAUUGGAGUCUGCAACUCGACUCCAUGAAGCUGGAAUCGCUAGUAAUCGUGGAUCAGCAUGCCACGGUCGAAUACGUUCCCGGGCCUU
rnacentral:rRNA from 1 species